AGAGCUUUGGAUUGGAGCUCGCUACCUGCCGUCCUCAUUGGAUGUAGCUAAGAAACUUCACGGAUUGGUGCGAAAAACAGCAGGUAGGACAUCUUCCACUUAUGAUUGGCUGUCUCCGAAGGCUAACGUUACUGGAGAAUUGGGUAUUGAGUAAGCAGGUUCUGAAAAAUGAUUGGUUGAGACGACUCCGGAUGUGCAUGACUGAGCACUGAUUGGUAAAUUGAAGGGUCAGGAAGAGCAGUUCGGCACGAGGAUUGGCGGCGAAGUGUCCCAUGGAAACCGAACCCGGAGCUGCGGCCAGCAUUUGCACGGGGGCGGGGCAGGGUCUUUCCAAGGCGCCUGCGCUAAACCGGCUUCUCGGCGCCAUUUUGUCUGAGCGGCGGUGGUCGCAGCUCUAUCGCAUUUUACGUUUCUGGCGAGACGAGAGCCGACUGUGUAUCCUGUAGAUUCAUUUUAGUGCGGCACCUAUCCACGGUUCACUCCAGGACAGCACCUAGUGAAGGUCGGAGGAGUCGCGAACCUGUCAACAGGUCGGUUGGAAGCUGUGGCUGUCCGAGUGACUAGGGGAUGGCGCAGCUUUAGCGGCACCGGCACCGGAAGUGGACGGGCCGCGCGGCGGCCAUGGCAAAGCGGUCUGAAGAAAACCAAAAUCUCUCAGUGUCAUAUCCUAAAGUAUUACUGAGGUAGGCGUUUGUAUAGUGGAACAUUUUGCUGCACAGAAGUGACAUUUAGAGGAUACUAAAAACUACUGUUUUUAUGAAUAAACCUCAUUUUGUGGGAAAAUGAAGGAAGAUGUUCCAGUUUUAAAAGACCUGGAUCUACUGUUGAAAAUUCUGUUUCUGGUCCCUUUAUGAAUGAUGGAAAUAGAAGCAAAUGGAUAGUCUUAAUCAGAUAAGUGCUUUAAUAGUCUAAACAUAUUUUUUGUAAUCCCUAAACUAAAACUUGAUUCUUUAAAACAUUUUUGAUUUCUCUUUUCAGGUGCCCAUAUCAAGAGAGUUUACAGUAAAUAAGGUACUGGAUCUUCUCUGAAAAUAAAUUUAUGAUCUUAUCAAAGUAAAAUGUACCAGCUUUUUCCCCCCACAAAGGCUAAUCAAUAUUUCAAUGGUGCAAUUACAGAGUGCCUCCCACAGUUGAACCUAGAUUAUUAAUUUUACAUAUACUAUGUAUGAAAGUCAACUGUCUCAUAGCUGAAAUAGG